rnacentral:lncRNA from 1 species
UCUGUCUCCCAAGUGCUGGGAUUAAAGGUGUGUGCCACCCUUGCCCGGCUCUCCUAGGAGGUUUUAAACAACGAUGUGUGUGGGUCCAUGGCUGUGGACAGUUAAACUGGGCUCAUUGCCAGACCUCUUGAGUUCUUGUUAAAUCAACAGCUGGGUUGCCUCUCUCUGGCUGGUUAGCUUAGGACCAGCACAGUGGCUUAAACUGAGUGCUUUGUCAGGAAACACUCUAAGGUUAUUGCUGAUGUUCCUGGGGCCACUGUAUGUGAGGUAUUGGUGUAUAGGCCUUUGGUAUUAUACACAUGAAGGUUUGUAUCCAUUUUCUACUACCUAAUGGUGAUGUGAUCCUGCAGAGCUAGUUAGCAUUUUUGAGCCUCAGUUGUUUGUUUUUUUCCUUAAGUGAGAAUGAUAAAUUCCUCACAGGCAUUAUGAGGACUGCAGUGACUAUAAACAAAGCACCAGCUCUGUUGCAGCUCUGUUCUGAUGCUAAUUAUUGUCAGAAAGAAAGGGUUCCAGUUUCCCAAGUGCUCAUACAUUUAUCAGAGGGAGUACAGAACACUCAAGACUAAGAACCCUGUACUACAGUUGCUUGCACACAGUCUACUGUAUGAGGCACAUAGACUCUGGGUGUAAUGGUUCUCCUUCAUGCCCGUGAUAAAAGAGUGUCACGUCACUGCAAGUCAGGAGUCUGUCAGGCUCCCCUUCAUAGUUUCCUAAGUGAGAUUUACGAUUCUCGCCUCUGCCUUAUACUCUUGUUUCUCCUCCUGCUUGUGUGUAUAUAUAGACACAUACCCACACCCACAAUACAUGCAUGCACGCACACACAUACACACACAGGGCAGGGAGAGUGGAAGGGAGAGCACACAAGCUGAGCGUGUUCUAAGGAGCUGUUGAAGUACCUGAGGUUUAACUCAGGUCCCCUCUGUUCAGGGAAUUGAAAUAUGGUGACACUUGCUUAUAAUGCUGGCCCACCAAGGCCCAGGAACUGACUCUGGACAGCGAGACCAGCAUCCCCUUGUGCCUGUAGGGAAAUUAAGGCACUAGCAGUCAGUGGGCAAACGUUCCUCAAAAACUUUUUUGCUUUGGGCAGUAUGAUCUUGAUCUUACUGAGAGACAGUCACGGCACAUUUUAAGGUAUUUGAUUUGUAUUUGUUCGCAGUGCUAGCAGUGAAAGACAGCCCUUGGGCUUCAGCCUACCGUGUUGUGGAAACAGAAUUCAUGCCUCCCGCGCACGGUUUGCCGGGCCCAAGCACUGCUCAGCGGAGCUCGGGUGUGCUGCUGCUUUUAAUUUUCAUCCAUCCUUUGUAGUAUCGGACGUGGAAUCCACUCUGCUUUCUCUUCUUGCUAACCAUUUAAAGUUUACACUGAAAGUUUGGUUUCUACAAUGGGAGCUCAUUUGGCAAGUGCGUGGAGGUGUGUCUGAUGUCACUCCAGUACCAGAAACCACUCAGGAGAAGAUGCUUCACUCUUCAGUGCCCUUGGCAAUGGCCGCUCACUGGAUAAUCGCCACCCACGGCGCCAGAGGGGACGUUGUUUCCUUGUUUGGUAUUUCCUAGUUCUUAACUUGGUGAUCAUAUUCAGGAUAAGUUAGCCUUAAAACACACAAUAGAUACUGGGUGCAUUCAGGUCUUAUUGUUCAAAGUCUUUGUUCAUUACCUGACAGAAUCUGUAGGAGCUGAGCAUUUGAGGAUUAGAAUCAUUCCCCUGGUGUCUCUCCCAAACUGCUCUCAAGUGUAAUGCAAAAGACACAUCCCGAGAAAGACCAGUGAUUUAGCUGGAAAUGCGGCAUUCCUGGUAAAAAAGCACUAGGCAGCAUGUUGUCGUCAGUUGUUGGGGCAGCCAGAUUCCACCCAGAGCUGUUCGUCCUCACUUUGAAUACAACUCUAUCACAGUAUGAAUGUGUUCCUGAUGUGUUGUUCCCUAGUCAAGAUUCUACACAUUUUCUAGAAAGAUUUGUGUUAGCCGCUCUGCUGCUGUAACAAAUAUCUCGGAUGAUGUUCAAAGAGAAAAGAGGGAUUUUUGGCUCCCAUUUCCAGGUGUUGAAACAGCUGGUUGGCUCUGCUGUCUUUAGGCCAGUAGCAAGGUGUGUGGUAGAGCUGAACUUCUCCCACGAGCAGGAGAGAAAGGAAGAGCGGGCAGCUAGACCCUUCUGGACGUGUCUCCAGUGAGCUUCAGCCCCCCUACAGGUCCUGCACCUUUGGGAUCCCACCUUCUCACGGUGCUUCCAUGCUGGAGCCUUUGAAAGCUCUUCCAGAUCCAGAUUGUAGCCCCUGGUUAACUGCAGAGCCCUUUGAAAGCCAGAGAGCUGGGGGACGGGGGUUGGAGUGGGGUGGGGGUGGGGUGGGACAGGGUGGACACCUGUUCCUUGCUGUGCUGUCCUCUUCCAUUACUUCUUGUAACUGCCUUUAUAUAUUCUGAACAGUUUGAGCCCCAAACCCCCACUCCCCCCCCCAAAAAAAAAUUGAACACCAUCUCCUUGAAAAGACCUCUUAACAUUCAUUAAAGACUAAGAAAAUAGCCAGACUUUCAAUUAGGGCUUUAACUGUUAAGGUAAGAAAUGUUCAUUUGGUUUGCUAUUUUCAAAAGAGGGGUUUGUUUUGUUUUGUUUGCUUUUGUUUUGUUUCAUUUGCUCCCAGUGGAAAUUACAUCAGUGUCAAUUUUAUAAAUCUUGACAAAUUCAGAAAUGUUUGU